CGUCAAGGCGCCCGCCGGUCGUUCACCCUUCCCGGGCUCCUGGAGGUUCCCUCACCCCCGCCUGCCGAGGCCGGGGCGCGAGCGAGAACCCCCGGCCAGCCUGUUCCUGGAAGCCCAGCGAAAGCCCCCUGCAGCCCGGGGCGUUGAAUGACUGCCUCGCAAUUAGAAAGCAGCAGCAGCAACGAAAGCGAAACCUCAGGUCGGGGGAAAAACGGCGCUCAGCUCAUCCGACAGCCCAGGCCUCGGGGCCCCCCCGGUGCCAGCAGCGUGGGCCCCCUCGGGGCUCUGCGUCCCUGGGGGCCUGGGGCGGAGCCACCCUUCCCCGUGCGAGGGUUCUGCCUUUCCCCUGGGGCCUCCCGCCUGGGUCUCCUCCAGGGUGUCCGCCAGCCCCGCGGUCUCCUCGGACCAAGGCGCCCGCAGGCUUCCUCAAGCUGCGAGAGCCCCCGUGGGGCUCGGCUGGGAGCGACCGCCCUCGCGCUGCGGGGCUGCGGCGUCAGCGGGGCUGCGUCGGCGCGGGAGGGCCGGCGGGGACCACGGGGCCGCGGAGGGGCGGAGCCUGAGGCCGGAAAGAGGGGCCGGCGGCCGAGCCCGCGGGAGCCGCCCGUAGAGGUCGGGCGGCGCGUGCGCUGAACAGAAGGCAGGAAACUCCGCCGCUGCCUUCUCCGGUGCCUCUUUGCAUGUCUCCUGGGGUCAGUGCCGCCUCCUCGCCGGGAGGGGAAAAUGAGUGCCGCGCGGGGUUUCCUAGAAAUGAUUACAUCAAGGUCCUCUGUUGAUGAAAGAAAUAAACCACGAGAAAGAAAGAAUGUGUAUGAGUUGCUGAGAACCAAAGCUCGUUGGCUUUCUUGCGUCUGAAGGUCCCUUUGCCCACAAGUGUUGUCCAAGUGAACAGGUCACAUGGCCGUGCGCCCUUCGUGGUUCAAGGAACAGCGACUGUGACGAUCCUCUACGUCCCAAGAAAGUCCUCGACCACAACCCACCAGGGCAGACCGGCUUGGAUGCAGGGCUUGAUGUUUACAGAGACGAGGUUCCUGUGAGGGGAUGGGGUGGGAAUGCUGGACUCCCUGUGCCUACGUUUCCUGUCAAACCUAAACCUGUUCUAAAAGAUAAAGCCUGUGGAUUAACAAAAA